CGGCGGACAUUUGCUACGAUCGCUGUACAUAUGGCUAUGGUCGGAGUACGAAAUCAAUUCCAGUCAUUGUCAGCUUCUUGAUGAACAAAGCAUUGCAAAACUCCCUUUCUCUGCCUGUCCCUGGAAGAGCUGGCGCAGGACGACCUUUAUGAGGCCGAUCGGACCCGAGAUGGAUCUGUCGGCUUAUUGGACAGUGAAAGGCCGGUCUCCAGCAUGCAAAUGGGCGAGUCCCAGCCGGGUGGACAUGUGACACACGUCCCGGGUACUCCCCCCCGACGCACGGACACAGCACAUGUCACCUGCUCUUUCAAGAUGAAUGUUCCGCCUGACGGCGGUGGCCGAUCUCCCUGUAAUGGUAUGAAAGCUUCCCGUUGCUGUUUAGAGAUCAAUCUGUGGUCCAGUUCUUCUGCCAGAGAUG